rnacentral:rRNA from 1 species
CCCUUAGAUGUCCUGGGCCGCACGCGCGCUACACUGAUGCAUGCAACGAGUUUAUAACCUUGGCCUGAAAGGUCUGGGUAAUCUUUUGAACGUGCAUCGUGAUCGGGAUAGAUUAUUGCAAUUGUUAAUCUUGAACGAGGAAUUCCUAGUAAACGCGAGUCAUCAGCUCGCAUUGAUUACGUCCCUGCCCUUUGUACACACCGCCCGUCGCACCUACCGAUUGAAUGGUUCGGUGAAGAUCUCGGACUUCGAUAUUUAUUCUUUAUUGAGUUUAUAUUGUGGGAAGUUAUCUAAACCUCAUCAUUUAGAGGAAGGUGAAGUCGUAACA